GCCGGGCAUGGUGGCGCAAGCCUAUAAUCCCAGCAGCUCAGGAGGCUGAGGCAGGAGGAUCGCGAGUUCAAAGCCAGCCUCAGCAACAGCAAGGUACUAAGCAACUCAGUGAGACCCUGUCUCUA
rnacentral:sRNA from 1 species